rnacentral:rRNA from 1 species
AACGAACGCUGGCGGCAGGCUUAACACAUGCAAGUCGAGCGCCCCGCCAGGGGAGCGGCAGACGGGUGAGUAACGCGUGGGAACGUACCUUUUGGUUCGGAACAACUCCGGGAAACUGGAGCUAAUACCGGAUAAGCCCUCACGGGGAAAGAUUUAUCGCCGAAAGAUCGGCCCGCGUCUGAUUAGCUAGUUGGUGAGGUAACGGCUCACCAAGGCGACGAUCAGUAGCUGGUCUGAGAGGAUGAUCAGCCACACUGGGACUGAGACACGGCCCAGACUCCUACGGGAGGCAGCAGUGGGGAAUAGUGGACAAUGGGCGCAAGCCUGAUCCAGCCAUGCCGCGUGAGUGAUGAAGGCAUUAGGGUUGUAAAGCUCUUUUGUCCGGGAAGAUAAUGACUGUACCGGAAGAAUAAGCCCCGGCUAACUUCGUG